rnacentral:lncRNA from 1 species
GUCGGCAGGAGCUUAGACUGUUCAUACAGCGAAGUUUGGGGUUUGCGAUCAGCCUGAAUUUAUUGCAGUCAAGUGACCCUUUAUAGGAUGUAGAUGUAGGAGAGCAAAGAUUCCAGAUUCAAACUUGGAUUAACCUGGGGCCCAGCUCAGGUCACAGGAAAAAAUUAAAAUAUACUGAAAACUGUCCUCUUCCCCUCCCCUCCCUUCAAUUCAUUUUCUGUUCCAUUAUGGAAAAAAAACCCCAAAUUUGGAAUUUUAAUGUUGUUUUUCCUCCAUUGGUUGUUUAGUUAGUGAUUUUGCCGACUUCCUGGAUGUUCAUUUCUGGUUCUGCACAAAAGAGUCACAUUUCCUUUUGGAAUCAGGACCAGGAGACAGAAGCGGACUCGGGAACUGUGAGUGCCCCCCGGUCUUCCCCGGCGCCUCUGACCCCUUCCUCCAUCUCGCCGCCUUCCCUGCCUUCAGCGCGGAGUUCCCUUUCUCCAGGGCUUCUUGUCUGAACUCACCCCCUCGGCUCUCAGCACCAUUCUCCACUUUUAGGAAAAGAAACUCUACAAUUUCUAUGCAAACAUCGGAUAAGAAGGGGAGGGGGAGUGACUUUGAUUUUCAUUUUAAGACUCUGAAAGACGGAGAAAGUAAGCAGAAGCGGGCUGGUGUAUUUCAGAGGCUCCCAGUGAGUCCCUACUAAAUUUACCUAAUAAAAUGAAUUUUUAAAA